rnacentral:rRNA from 1 species
UACGUAGGGGGCAAGCGUUGUCCGGAAUCAUUGGGCGUAAAGCGCGUGUAGGCGGCUCGAUAAGUCCGCUGUGAAAGUCCAGGGCUCAACCCUGGGAUGCCGGUGGAUACUGUCGAGCUCGAGUCCGGAAGAGGCGAGUGGAAUUCCUGGUGUAGCGGUGGAAUGCGCAGAUAUCAGGAGGAACACCAAUUGCGAAGGCAGCUCGCUGGGACGUUACUGACGCUGAGACGCGAAAGCGUGGGGAGCAAACAGG